AGUGCAUGUGUCUGUGGGGCCUUGGAUUCGCGCGGGCAGGGAGCUGUAGAGAGAGAGUUGAGAUGGGGGGGGGGCAAAUCAAUAAACUGGAGACUUCGUUCAUUUAUUUGCCUUAUUGAGUGUAUGGUGGAAGAGGAAAAAUGAAUCAAAAGGGUGCAACUUCUCUGUCAGAACGGGUGCCAGACAAAGCUACACCAGCUUGGCACUUCCUGUGGGCUCCCAGCCUCUCAACCUCAAAGACUGCCCCUUUAACUGUCAGACACCUUAUCGCAGGUUCCUGCUGAGCACAGUGCAGCUACUGGUGGGAUUUCAUCACUCUAGGCCUCCUAGCCCUGCUGGGGAAAGAGGGUCUGGCACUGGUGAUUGGAUGACUCUGUGAUACCUCAAUCCAGCCUAUGGCUGCAGCAGCUGCCGUGAGGAAGGGAAGCUCCUGGGACAGGAAAUGAGAGGAGUGUCCCCAAGCCCUGCUCACUACAAACUGCCCUGCUUGUGCAAGCAGGAGAUGGACCGUGAGCACGGCCAUGAACCAGGUCAGAUACAGGAAGCACAUAGUGCCUUUUAAAAAGAUGGCUCUGGAGCUGUGAGAUAGCAAUGAAGACUGGAAACAGACAGAGAAGGAACAAGGUUAUGGCAGUUGCUUCCUGGCCUGUUCCUGGACUACUAUUCACCAUGACCACUCGAAACAGCAAACAUACAUCCUACCUUUUCUGCAAAUAGUUUUUGACAGUUUUUUUUAAUUAAAUAAACUUAUAGUUCUACUUGUAUGCUGAGAUAAAUAUUAAUUUCUAUUGUUCACUGCUUCCAUUUUGUAUGAUUUUUAGCUGUAUAGUUAAUAAAUUGGUCUGUGCUAUCCCUGUCUUUUGUUAUUUGCCUCAGAAAUGUAAUUUAAGUGUCAGAUG